rnacentral:misc_RNA from 1 species
GUGAAUCAUCGAAUCUUUGAACGCACAUUGCGCCCUUUGGUAUUCCGAAGGGCAUGCCUGUUCGAGCGUCAUUAUCACCCCUCAAGCCCCGUGCUUGGUGUUGGAUGGCCGGUCGAGGUUCGCCCCCGACCCCUCCUAAAGACAAUGACGGCGACCUGUGGUUCCCCCGGUACACUGAGCUUUUCGCAGAGCACGUACCGGACGAGGGCGCCCGGGUCACGGUCCCCUCCUCCCCGUGAGGAAAUAUUUUUCAAGGUUGACCUCGGAUCAGGUAGGAAUACGCGCUGAACUUAAGCAUAUCAAUAAGCGGAGGA